UACGUAGGGUGCGAGCGUUGUCCGGAAUUAUUGGGCGUAAAGAGCUCGUAGGCGGUCUGUCGCGUCUGCUGUGAAAACCCGAGGCUCAACCUCGGGCCUGCAGUGGGUACGGGCAGACUAGAGUGCGGUAGGGGAGAAUGGAACUCCUGGUGUAGCGGUGGAAUGCGCCAGAUAUCAGGAAGAACACCGAUGGCGAAGGCAGUUCUCUGGGCCGUAACUGA
rnacentral:rRNA from 1 species